CAGCAGUGGGGAAUAUUGCACAAUGGGGGAAACCCUGAUGCAGCGACGCCGCGUGGAGGAAGAAGGUCUUCGGAUUGUAAACUCCUGUUGUUGAGGAAGAUAAUGACGGUACUCAACAAGGAAGUGACGGCUAACUACGUGCCAGCAGCCGCGGUAAAACGUAGGUCACAAGCGUUGUCCGGAAUUACUGGGUGUAAAGGGAGCGCAGGCGGGAAGACAAGUUGGAAGUGAAAUCCAUGGGCUCAACCCAUGAACUGCUUUCAAAACUGUUUUUCUUGAGUAGUGCAGAGGUAGGCGGAAUUCCCGGUGUAGCGGUGGAAUGCGUAGAUAUCGGGAGGAACACCAGUGGCGAAGGCGGCCUACUGGGCACCAACUGACGCUGAGGCUCGAAAGUGUGGGUAGCAAACAGGAUUAGAUACCCUGGUAGUCCACACCGUAAACGAUGAUUACUAGGUGUUGGAGGAUUGACCCCUUCAGUGCCGCAGUUAACACAAUAAGUAAUCCACCUGGGGAGUACGACCGCAAGGUUGAAACUCAAAGGAAUUGACGGGGGCCCGCACAAGCAGUGGAGUAUGUGGUUUAAUUCGAAGCAACGCGAAGAACCUUACCAGGUCUUGACAUCCAACUAACGAAGUAGAGAUACAUUAGGUGCCCUUCGGGGAAAGCAGAGACAGGUGGUGCAUGGUUGUCGUCAGCUCGUGUCGUGAGAUGUUGGGUUAAGUCCCGCAACGAGCGCAACCCUUAUGGUCAGUUACUACGCAAGAGGACUCUGGCCAGACUGCCGUUGACAAAACGGAGGAAGGUGGGGAUGACGUCAAAUCAUCAUGCCCUUUAUGACUUGGGCUACACACGUACUACAAUGGCGUUAAACAAAGAGAAGCAAGACCGCGAGGUGGAGCAAAACUCAGAAACAACGUCCCAGUUCGGACUGCAGGCUGCAACUCGCCUGCACGAAGUCGGAAUUGCUAGUAAUCGCAGAUCAGCAUGCUGCGGUGAAUACGUUCCCGGGCCUUGUACACACCGCCCGUCACACCAUGAGAGCCGGGGGGACCCGAAGUCGGUAGUCUAACCGCAAGGAGGACGCCGCCGAAGGUAAAACUGGUGAUUGGGGUGAAGUCGUAACAAGGUAGCCGUAGGAGAACCUGCGGCUG
rnacentral:rRNA from 1 species